UUCCUUGUUACGCAGUUAUAAAGAUUUCUCAUGAGACUGUCAGUGGAGGUGAAAGAGGAUCAGAAGCUCACAUCUCUUCAGCUUCACCAUAAACCAUGUUCUCUGUAGCUCUGCUGCUGCUGUUGGCAGCUGGAUCCUGUGUGAAGUGUGAACAGUUGACACAGCCAGCCUUAGUGACUGUGCAGCCAGGUAAAGGUCUGACCAUCACCUGUCAGGUCUCUUAUUCUGUCAGUAGCCAUCACACACAUUGGAUCAGACAGCCUGCAGGGAAAGAACUGGAGUGGAUUGGAGGUGCACAUGUUGGAUACACCACAGACUACAAAGAUUCACUAAAGAACAAGUUCAGUAUCGACUUAGACUCUUCCAGCAACAGAGUGACUCUGAACGGACAGAAUGUGCAGCCUGAAGACACUGCUGUGUAUUACUGUGCCAGAGACCCACAAUAACACAAACCAUCAGCAGACCUGAG